AUUGAACGCUGGCGGCAGGCCUAACACAUGCAAGUCGAGCGGAUGAAGGGAGCUUGCUCCUGGAUUCAGCGGCGGACGGGUGAGUAAUGCCUAGGAAUCUGCCUGGUAGUGGGGGAUAACGUCCGGAAACGGGCGCUAAUACCGCAUACGUCCUGAGGGAGAAAGUGGGGGAUCUUCGGACCUCACGCUAUCAGAUGAGCCUAGGUCGGAUUAGCUAGUUGGUGGGGUAAAGGCCUACCAAGGCGACGAUCCGUAACUGGUCUGAGAGGAUGAUCAGUCAACUUGAAACUAAGACACGGUCCAGACUCCUACGGGAGGCAGCAGGGGGGAAUAUUGGACAAUGGGCGAAAGCCUGAUCCAGCCAUGCCGCGUGUGUGAAGAAGGUCUUCGGAUGGUAAAGCACUUUAAGUUGGGAGGAAGGGAAGUAAGUUAAUACCUUGCUGUUUGACGUUACCAACAGAAUAAGCACCGGCUAACUUCGUG
rnacentral:rRNA from 1 species